rnacentral:rRNA from 1 species
AUUGAACGCUGCGGCAGGCUUAACACAUGCAAGUCGAGCGAGCAGCGGACGGGUGCGUAUUGCUUAGGAAUCUGCCUCUUAGUGGGGGACAACAUCUAGAAAGGGAUGCUAAUACCGCAUACUAUUAGAUGAGCCUAAGUCGGAUUAGCUAGUGGGGGGGGUAAAGGGCUACCAAGGCGACGAUCUGUAGCGGGUCUGAGAGGAUGAUCCGGCACACGGGGACUGAAACACGGGUCAGACUCCUCACGGAGGGAGCAGUUGGGAAUAUUGGAAAAUUGGGGGAAACCUGAUCGAGCCAGGGCGCGUGGGUGAAGAAGGGCUUAUGGUUGUAAAGCUCUUUAAACGGGGAGGCGUUACUCGCAGAAUAAGCACCGGCUAACUCUGUGCCAGCAGCCGCGGUAAUUC